AUUGAACGCUGGCGGCAGGCCUAACACAUGCAAGUCGAACGAGUGGCGGACGGGUGAGUAAUGUCUGGGAAACUGCCUGAUGGAGGGGGAUAACUACUGGAAACGGUAGCUAAUACCGCAUACCAUCAGAUGUGGCCAGAUGGGAUUAGCUAGUGGGUGGGGUAACGGCGCACCAAGGCGACGAUCCCUAGCUGGUCUGAGAGGAUGACCGGCAACACUGGAACUGAGACACGGUCCAGACUCCUACGGGAGGAAGCGGUGGGGAAUAUUGCACAAUGGGGGCAAGCCUGAUGCAGAAAUGCCGCGUGUAUGAAGAGGGCCUUCGGGUUGUAAAGUACUUUCAGCGGGGAGGCGGUACCCACAGAAGAAGCACCGGCUAACUCCGUGCCAGCAGCCGCGGUAAUUC
rnacentral:rRNA from 1 species